rnacentral:rRNA from 1 species
CCUACGGGUGGCAGCAGUGAGGAAUAUUGGUCAAUGGACGAGAGUCUGAACCAGCCAAGUAGCGUGAAGGAUGACUGCCCUAUGGGUUGUAAACUUCUUUUAUAUGGGAAUAAAAUGUUCCACGUGUGGGAUUUUGUAUGUACCAUAUGAAUAAGGAUCGGCUAACUCCGUGCCAGCAGCCGCGGUAAUACGGAGGAUCCGAGCGUUAUCCGGAUUUAUUGGGUUUAAAGGGAGCGUAGGUGGAUUGGUAAGUCAGUUGUGAAAGUUUGCGGCUCAACCGUAAAAUUGCAGUUGAAACUGGCAGUCUUGAGUAAAGUAGAGGUGGGCGGAAUUCGUGGUGUAGCGGUGAAAUGCUUAGAUAUCACGAAGAACUCCGAUUGCGAAGGCAGUUCACUGGACUGCAACUGACACUGAGGCUCGAAAGUGUGGGUAUCAAACAGGAUUAGAUACCCUUGUAGUC